AAGGUUACAAACAACAGCCCAUGGUCUGAUAGUGCAAUGAAAACAGUGACAACUCAUUGUACAAGUAACCUACAGAGUGGAGAGAAAUAGCUAUGCAAGGUACAUAUUUUACUUAUAUUAGUGUGAUUAGAGUCCUACCAAUCUUAAAAUGAAAGCUGGACUUGAAAUACAGAGUGUUUGCCUAGCCUGAUUUGAUUGCCAUUUUCUUUUGCACCUAAAUGUUGUGACUUGCAACUACCAGCAGAUGUCAGUGUUCCGGAAGACUAUGACUGCCUCUAUAGGGUCGUUGUGUUAUAAAUGCAGAAUUAUAUCAACGGCAGGAUGAGAGUUUUAAAAUGUCCAGAACAGGAAACUGAAAAUAAUAAUAAUUCUACAUCAACCAUAUAAUCCUUAUGUGUACAAGUAUGGGCUGCUGGUUUUGCUGAUUCUGUGAUCAUACUUGUAAAGCCACAUCACUGGAGAUGCUGCACAAAGCAGAAUUCACUGCUGAGGAAAGUCACUCAGUCAUAAGAAGACAGAUUCUUACAGGGGUGUCCUGAAUAACAUUUGCAGCUAUCAAGCUCCCAGGAUUUACUGCAAGCCUUGCCACCCACUGAGCAGGGUGAAAUACCUGGCUGAAGAGACCAGGCCUGAAGGCUUCAGGACUAAAAUUGGUUUUAUGUCUUACCUAAUUCUCAACGACAGGCCCAUGGGGCACUUCUACAUAGAGAAGAGUUACUUUCCUACCUGGUGAAGACAGUGAAUACUUUAUCACCUCUGAUGAACUACUACAGCAGUUAUUAUUCAGUCUCAAUGUAAAUGCAUAACAUCUGCUUUUCUUGAAGCACUUUAGAAACAAGUGCUAGGAAGGUCUGCUGAUGUGCCCCUAUAUUAAACUCAAGCUGUUUUACAGCAGAGUAAAGUGGGUCCUGGAAGACUCAAAUUCUACAGUAACUCUAUAGUAGAUACGGGAUUGAAUGAACUGUCUGAUGCUGCUCCCAGAUUUAUAAUUUAAAACAGUUUUAACCCUGUGGUCUAGAAGACAUCUUUACUGAAUUGUGUAUACAUGUAAUGAAGAGGUCCCUUCUCUUCCUGUAUUCUCAUGCUAUUUUAGUCUCUAGGAGCUCACCUGCAUGUAAGGAUGACAGCCACUGCCAUGCCCCCUUUUGUAAUUCCCCCUUGUUUAGCAAAGAAAUACAGCCAAUGCAGAGUCUUGAGACUUGAAGCACCUCUUCGAUUUGAGAAAACUAUUACUUAAAAAGAAGCUAUCACCAAACUGUUCAGAAUGUUCCAAGUAACAGGAUUUUGCAUCUUGAUCUGUUAACACACACUAUUUCAAAUUAAACUCAAAUUAUCAUUA